UUCGGAGGGUGCAGGCGUUACUCGGAAUUACUGGGCGUAAAGCGUGCGCAGGCGGUUUGUUAAGUCUGCUGUGAAAUCCCCGAGCUCAACUUGGGAAUUGCAGUGGAUACUGGCAAGCUGGAGUACGGUAGAGGAAGGUGGAAUUCCCGGUGUAGCAGUGAAAUGCGUAGAGAUCGGGAGGAACACCAGUGGCGAAGGCGGCCUUCUGGACCAGUACUGACGCUCAUGCACGAAAGCGUGGGGAGCAAACAGG
rnacentral:rRNA from 1 species